CUUCGACUGGGUGGUGCAGGAACGCGGCUCGCCGAUCCGCGCGGCGGUCGAAGGCGCGUUCUCGGCGGCGGGCGUUCCGGUGCCUGCCGGAAUC
rnacentral:tRNA from 1 species